rnacentral:lncRNA from 1 species
UAUGCAGGACUACUUAAAGCUGGUCCCUCUGGAGACAAAUCUAAUGUGUGUCGUUGGAAGAGCCAUGCCUAUUCACAAAGAACCAGAAGAAAUGCCAGGCAGGAGCCACACAGAAGAUGGCGUUACUGGUAAAUCAGACAGGCACAUCACAGCUCAGAUGAUCAAGGCCUUAUCUAAAGACGAGUUUGGUUAAAAAUAGACAAACCAACACAGAAAUGUAACAUUGUCAGUUCAUUAAGCAUUUGCUCUGUUCUUCAAGGAGCGUG